rnacentral:lncRNA from 1 species
GGGGUCAAAUCAGAGCUGCAGCUGCUGGCCUACACCACAAGCCACAGCAAUGCGGAUCUGAGCUGCAUCGGUGACCCCACGGCUCACAGCAACACAGGAUCCUCAACGCACUGAGCAAGGCUAGGGAUCGAACCUGCAUCCUCAUGGGUACCAUGUUGGGUUCUUAACCUGCUGAGUCACAAUGGGAAUGCCAAGACCUGGAAUUUGACUGGAGGCCUGAUGAAGCUGAAGGAUGUGCCCCCAGGAGCCUGGGAGGAUGACACUGUGGGGUUUUCCUCUGAUAGUGCUAGCCUGCUUUACGCUCGCUCUGCUCUGAAGCCUUUAAGCAAGAACUACAUCUAAUGCCCACUCAAGGCUGGGCUCCUAAACAGGAAAUAGGUGAGAUGCCUUAUCUGAUGGUGACUUUCUAAUUCUAGGUUUUAUUUAACUUAAUUAAAUUAAUUAAUUAAUUAAUUAAUUUAUUUUUUGUCUUUUUGCCUUUUCUAGGGCCGCUCCCGUGGCAUAUGGAGGUUCCCGGGCUAGGGGUCUAAUCGGAGCUGUAGCCACCAGCCUACACCAGAGCCACAGUAAUUCUAGGUUUUAAACCACAACCACCAAAGAUGGUGGGUGCCAGCAAACCUUCCUCAGUUAUCACCAAAAGUGCUAUUUCCUACAUUUAAAGACCCUCUUCUCCACUCUCUAGAAUCUGUGCCCUUAGAGAAACCAUGCCCCUUGAAGGGACGUUCCCAGCCAAGGAAGAGGCAAGCGAACAGCCUUCAGCUCUAGCCUGGGCCAGCCAAGUCCUGCUGUCAAUUGGACUUGCCACUCCUCUUUAGGACCUUGGGAAGAGGAGCAAGGGAUGGGUCUGGGUUUACUCCAGCUCAGAGUUGAGGGAGAAGACUGAUGGGCCAAGGAAAUUAGGAGGUAGGCACACCAGUGCAUCUGGGAGGGCCAGGGGGAUGGGGAGGGCUGCAUUGGUGGCAGCAAUGAGGCGGUCUCUCCGGAGUCCUACCAGGGACGCUCUCUCUUCCUCCUGUCCCCACCAAGGAGAUGGGAACACUGGACCACGAGGAGGUGGAGAGGAUUCCUCCCAAGGCCAGUCCCAACCUGCACUAUAGGUCUUAAGAGCCCAGGAUCAGUGACAAAAUAGUCACAUCCAGAAUGCUGGUUGAUGACAUGAGCCAGACUUACUAGCUUUCCAGUCCUGGCUUUAUCACUGGGCUGUGUCACUUCCAGCAAAUCCUAUAACCUCUUGGAGCCUCAGUUUCCUCAUCAGGGAAAAUGGGGAUACUACUAUAUACCUUUGGGGUUAUUUUGAGACAAAUGGGAUACUCCACUUAAAGCACUUUGCACAGUACCUGGCACACAGAAUACUCUAGAACUGUUAACUCUUUUUUUGUUGUUGUUGUCUUUUUAGGACCGCACCUGCAGCAUAUGGCAGUUCCCAGGCUAGGGGUUGAACUGGAGCUUCAGCUGCUGGCCUAUGCCACAGCCACAGCAACGCCAGGUCUGAGCCCCGUCUGUGACCUACACCAUAAUUCAUGGCAAUGCCGGAUCUUUAGCCCACUGAGCUGGGCCAGGGAUUGAACCCGAAUCCUCAUGGAUACUAGUUGGGUUCAUUACCAGUGAGUCACAAUGGGAACUCCUAGAACUGUUAAUGCUUUGCUGUUGUUGUUAUGGUCUAAGCAUCUCUCUGGAAAAGAAGCUGUUUACCCGUACAGUGGGUUGUCACCUCUAAUCCAAUUGGUAGAAGCCCCAGUUCUACCUCAAAAUGUGAAAGCCUUUCACUCAACCACAGAGAAGUGGUCCAGAAAACUCACCAUCAUGGCCGCUGGGGCUCAUCCAGCCCCCGGGGAGGAACUACUGUUUCCUGCCAACAGUUUCCUUCUUUGAGUGGCCUGGGGCAUAGCACUGGGGGCUUUGUGAAAAUUAGGACACAAGAAAUACAAGCAGCACCCAGAGAUUAAACCUGUUCUGUCACAGAGGUGUGACCUUGAAGGGGAUUUCACAAGGACUGCAGAGGCAGGGCAAGAGGUGGGAGUGACUGUCCUCAGAUCCACCCUCUCAGCACACCUGUCGGCAGUACUUGACAGCCUGGAUCCCAGCCCAGCCAGCACAACCCUGGGACCUGACGGCAGUGAGCAGUUGCUCAUCUGAGUGAUGGAGGCUCCACAAAUAGCUGCCAAUCUCAUGGGACCAGAGAUGGGCCCUUGGAACAGCCAAAGAUUUGGUCUCUAUUUAGGUGGGGCAGUAAGGAUGUGGCGUGUAUUAUACCUGGGCCUCUUAGCAGAGGAAACGCAGGCUGAGGUCCUCCCUCCUCUCUGCUCCCCUGUCCCUUUGGUUUUAAGUGGAAGUAUUUUCUCUUGCCCUCUCUCCUCUCCCUUUACAACGAAACAUCAUCUUUAGGCUCUAAAAACUGUCCCCAGAAGACUUUUCACAUCUUGGUGGGGACAUGGAAAGAUGAUGGGCAUACUAUGAAUGAUGUAACUUAGUGACGGAUCUGCUGCAGAAUCUCCUGAUGUUCUGGAUGAACAGUCACGUACAGCUCUUUAAGUGCAGAUCUGAGCUCAUAAGAUAGUAAAGGAAAUCUCCAAGGGCCAAAUGAAGAGGGAAUUGCAAGCUACAGCAUCAAGCACAUGACUGAAACAAUGGUAUCCCUGGGGGUGGGGGGGGUGUACAGGUUGGUUUUGGUCAUCUAGGCACUUGGGUUUGAAAGUUCAUCCAUAACAUUUGUAUGGUUUCCAGUUUGGGGAUUUAUGAAUAGCACUGCUUUGAAUAUUCUACUACAUUAAUUUUGAACAGAGGACAUUCCUGUGGACAAAUAUCUAAGAGAAAAAAAUUAUUGGAUCUUAGGUAUGCAUAAACUCAGAUUUGGAGGACAUGCUAUAUAGUUUUUCAAAGUGGUCAACCAUUUAAAAUUCCCAGUGAAUGAGCAUUCCAGUUGCUCCCUAUUCACCCCAACAAUUGAUACUGUCUUUUCUUCUCUGCCUCAUAUGAACCACUCUGGUUGGAUUUGCAUUUCCAUAAUGACUAAUGAGAGUGACCACUUUUCAUAAAUAGUUUGGCAAUGUGGUAUAUGCUUUUGUGAAAUGCCUGUCCAAGUAUUUUAGUUUUCUGUUUUUUUCUUACUGAUUUAUAAUUCUUUAUAUACUUAAAAAUACAGAUCUUUGUCAAGAUCUAUAUUGAUCUUGCAGAUAUCUUUUUACAUUCCGUAGUUUACCCUUUCACUCUCCUGGUGGUAUUUUUUAAUGAAUAGAUGUCCUUGAUUUUAAUAAAGUCCAAUUAUCAGGCUUUUCCUCAUAGCUUGCUUUAUAUGACCUAUUUAAGAAAUGUUUUUUUUCUCCAUAGUAAUAAAGAUAGUUCCUAUGUUUUCUUUUAGAAGCAUUCUUAUUUUUCAUAUGUACAUCUACAACUCAUCUGGAAUUCAUCUCUUCGUAUAUAUAGGAGUUAUUACUUUUUCCCAUCCAGUUAUCCAAUUGAUCUCACACUAUUUAAUUAAAAAAGUUAAGCAUCCAGCGUUAUCAUUGCAGUGGCUUGGGUCCGGGAACUUCGACAUGCUGUGGGCAUGGCCAAAAAAAAAAAAAAAAAAAAAGUAUUCUUUCCCCCAUUGUACUGCAUUGUUAUCUUUACCAUAAAUCAAGUGCCUAUAUAUGUAUCGGUCAGUUUCUGUAUUCUCUAUUCUGUUCAUGACAGUCUCAUAUUUUAUAUCAUUACCUAGCUUUACAAUGAGUCUUGAUUAUCAGGUAGCGAGAGCCCUCCAACUUCUUCAAGUUUGUCUUGGUUCUAGUUGGUCCUCUGCAUUUAUUUAUAUGGCUUAGAAUCAGCUUCUUGUCAAUUUCCAUGCAUACUCACUAAACCUGCUGAGAUUUUUAUUAGGAUCACAUGGAAAACUUUAGAUAUAUUGUAGAGUGUUUAUAUCUUUAUGAUUUUGAAUCGUCCAGUAUAUGAACAUGGUAGAGCUCUUGUACAACUUCCAUUAUAGGAAUACCUAGAUAUUUGAUAUUUUUUUAUGCUACUGUAAAUUCUGUAGGUUAAAGGUUCAGAUGUGCUUACUCAUUUGGUCUGGAAAUUCCUAAGCUGAGAAAUUAAGAUAAAAGUCGUCCCAAGCAGCGAUAAUGUACCUGCAAUGCUUAUCAGAAGCAAAUAAAAAACCUCCCUGGAGGGAUAUGCCGUCAAUGCAAGGAGCCCAAUAUUGCUACAAAUAGAGGCACACUAAAUAUGAGUAUGCAAACCAACAUUACAAGACAUACAAUGAACCAAUCCAGCAUGAGCUAGAGUCAGCAGAUGAGCGGCUGUGAGAUUAGACCCCAAUAACUUAAGAUAAUAGAACUAGCAAAUAAAUUAUAAAAUAAAUAUAUUUAAAAUGAGUAAAUACUUAAAAAGGUAUUAAACAUAUAUAAGGAGAGUCAGACAUUAUUAAAAAGAAUGAGAGAGUUGAAAAAGAAUAAUAAUGCUAAUAAAAUUGAAAAAUAUAUAUUCAUUAAAAUUAAAAAUUCAGUGAACAAAUUAGAUGAAACUUAAGGAGAAUUGGGAAAUUGGAAGGUAGAGUAGAAAUCUUUCACAGAAAGCAGCUCAGAGAGAUUAAGAGAUGGGAAAUGAGGCAGUUCCCUUC